rnacentral:rRNA from 1 species
AACGAACGCUGGCGGCAUGCCUAACACAUGCAAGUCGAACGAGACCAUCGGGUCUAGUGGCGCACGGUUGCGUAACGCGUGGGAACCUGCACUUAUGUUCGGAAUAACUCCCCGACAGGGGUGCUAAUACCGGAUAAUGUCUUCGGACCAAAGAUUUAUCGCAUUUGGAUGGGCCCGCGUUGGAUUAGCUAGUUGGUAGGGUAAAAGCAUACCAAGGCGACGAUCAAUAGCUGGUUUGAGAGGAUGGUCAGCGACACUUGGACUGAGACACGGCCCAGACUCCUACGGGAGGCAGCAGUGGGGAACAGUGGACAGUGGGCGAAAGCCUGAUCCAGCAAUGCCGCGUGAGUGAUGAAGGCCUUAGGGUUGUAAAGCGCUUUUAACCGUGAUGAUAAUGACAGUACCGGGAGAAUAAGCUCCGGCUAACUCCGUG